GACAUUUCCUCGUUACGUUGCCUUCCUCCCGGUUUCGAAGUUUUGGUCAAAGCAGAAACCAGCCUGGAGAAUAGCACCCAGAUGACAGAUUAUCAAGCUUUGGUGGAAAAUGACAAUGGUCAAGAAACUUCAGCAUAUUACUUCAUUCCUUCCAAUGUGGAAUCUGGCAAAGAAAUGAAUUCUGAGACAACGAAUUCCCCAAUUUUAAUGGAAAAUGACAACGAACAAGAUACUGGCUCAGAAUCUUUCUUUCUUGCUCCUGGUUUUGCGCUUUUACCUGUAGAAAUACUGUUAAAAGCAGAAAGCA